rnacentral:lncRNA from 10 species
AUCGCCUCUCCCUCACUCCCUCUGCCUCAGCCACACUGCACCCCCGCCCGGCUGUUCCUCAAACAUACCAGGCACUAUGCAUGCUCCCUUGCUCUAACUGUUCUGCCUACAAGAUCCAUUGCCAUGCUUUUUUUCAAGAGGAAUUCAAAAUUAAUUUGAUUUUGCUGCAUCUUGUCCCAUUUAUAUAGAAGUGCUAACUGUUCAUUCAAAAAUAAAAAAAAAGGAUCAUACAAGAUGCAUGCAGCUGCCUUUUAUAUUCAGGGAUGAAAAACUGGUUAUGAAGGAGGUUAAUGUUGUUAUUCCAGAGAGAUAACCCUGGUUGC